rnacentral:rRNA from 1 species
AUUGAACGCUGGCGGCAUGCCUUACACAUGCAAGUCGAACGGCAGCACGGGUGCUUGCACCUGGUGGCGAGUGGCGAACGGGUGAGUAAUACAUCGGAACGUACCUUAUCGUGGGGGAUAACGCAGCGAAAGCUGUGCUAAUACCGCAUACGAUCUAUGGAUGAAAGCGGGGGAUCGCAAGACCUCGCGCGAUUGGAGCGGCCGAUAUCAGAUUAGGUAGUUGGUGGGGUAAAGGCCCACCAAGCCAACGAUCUGUAGCUGGUCUGAGAGGACGACCAGCCACACUGGAACUGAGACACGGUCCAGACUCCUACGGGAGGCAGCAGUGGGGAAUUUUGGACAAUGGGCGAAAGCCUGAUCCAGCCAUUCCGCGUGCAGGAUGAAGGCCCUCGGGUUGUAAACUGCUUUUGUCAGGGAAGAAACACCGGCUCUAACACAGUCCGGGAAUGACGGUACCUGAAGAAUAAGCACCGGCCAACUACGUGCCAGCCGCCGCGGUAA